CUCCAGCCCUGGGUGCACUUCCGACCGCAGCUCCGCUGGAGGCGCUCUCUGCUCAGUUCCUCAGCAGAAAACAAUCCCAGUGCCCUUACUGAAAUAUCGGAGGGAGCCCUUGUAGGCUGGCGGUGAAGUGUAGACACUGGUUCAAAUCCUGGCUUCUCCACUUCCCAGCUGUGUGACCUUAGGCGGCUGAGUUGCGGCACUCAGGAUCUUCGAUCUUCAUUGCAGCAUGUGCAAUUUUUAGUUGCGGCGUGCGGGAUCUAGUUCUCUGACCAGGGAUCGAACCCGGGACGCCUGCAGUGGGAACACGGAGUCUUAGCCACUGGACCACCAGAGAGCUUCUUUAUGGAACAUCAAUACGAACUGGGAACGAGAAGCAUCAUCGUAGCUGCCGUUUCUCAAGCAGGGAGGGUCCUGGGCUCCACAGAAUGACCCUACUGUCUCCUGGGAGCCGCCCUGGGGGCCUCUCUUGUCACCCAUUUGGCAGAGGAGGAAGCCUCACCCGUGGCAGAACCAUUCAGACCCUGGACCGGUCUGUGCCUCUGUGGUAUCUAGGCUCAAGCAGAGGCUGGUCUCCCAAAGAAACGCCACCCAGGGGCUUCCCCGCCCCCACCGUGGGUCACCUGAACCAGCUGCUGACCAAGUCCCCACGCCUGCAGGGCAGCAAGGGAGUGAGGAACAGGGGUGGGCAGUCCUUGAGUAAGUAACUGCAGUCAGCCCCUGCUUCAGGCAGCACACUGCUCCUCUCAGGGCCCUCCAAUUCAUAUGCUCUGAUUCCCACACCAUCUCCUUGAGGUUGGCACUAUGGUGGUGGGCACGGCACAGGUGAGGAAACAGCCCAGGCAGGGGACAAAGCUUGCCCAGACCUGCAGAGCUGGGAUUCACCUUGAGAGUUCCUGACACUUGUUCUCCUGUCCUCUCUCCAUCUGUAUGAAAGAGUGAAGGCCGUAGCUAACAGAAUGUUUGGAUCCCCCAAAAUUGAUGUGCUGAAACCUAACCCCCCAGUGUGAGGGUAUUUAGAGGUGGGGCCUUUGGGAGGUGAUGAGGUCUUCCAGCGUGAAGCCCUCAAGAAUGGGAUACUGCCCUUUAAAAGAGGCCCCCGGGAGAUCCCUCCCUUGUCUCUUCUACCUUGUAUUGUGGUUCAGUGUCCGACUCUCUGUGACCCCAUGGACUGCAGCACACCAGGCUUCCCUGUCCUUCACCAUCUCCCGGAGGGUGCUCAAGCUCAUGUCCGUUGUGUUGAUGAUACCAUCCACCUUGUGAGGUUAUACCAAAAAGAUGGCCGAACCAGGAAGUGGGCUCUUACCAGACACUGAAUCUGGCAGCACCUUGAUCCUGGACUUUUCAACCUCCAGAACUGUGAGAAAAAGGUCUUUUGUUCAAAGCCACCCCACCCCCUCCACCAGCCUGCGAUAUUCUGUUAUAGCAGCAUGAAUUGGACUAAGUGGCUAAGGCAGCCACUUUCCCUAUGUGCUUAUACUGUUGAUCCUUCCAUCUGUCUAUCCACUCAUCCAUCCAUGCAUCCAUGUACCCACCUAACCAUCUAUGCAUCCAUCUAUCCAUCCACAGCUGUGCAGUGAGUAUCCUCUACGUACCAGGUGUGGCCUGGGUACUGGGACGGGGGGCAGGGCCCACCCUAUGUGGCAUGUACAGGCUGGCAAAGGAGCCACGUAUUGAAAAACACAUCCACCAAAAAACAAAUGCAUCACCAUUGUGCUUAGCGCUGGGAAGAAGCAAUCCAGGAUGCUGUAAGUGGGUGUAACAGGACCAUCUCUCUAGGGAGUGUUCUCUGGGCCUUGGGAGCUGGUGGGCGGGAGACGCUGAGAUGGCCCUACGGGCUUAGCCUCAGGGCACAGGAGCUCAAUAAUGCCCCAACCGCCAGCUAGUUUGGUGAGGCUGCAGCCAGCCCAACCGGCCCCUCCAGUAGGUGGGCUCCUGGAGGCGUGGCUGCAGCAGGAAGUAAGUCUGGAGGUGAAUGGAGGGUGUGGAUCUUCCCCCAGAUUUGCUUUGCAAGCCAUGCUACAUGGGGCCGGAAGCCGCGAAGAACUGCAAUCAGAGCUCUAGGAGACAGGAGAGAGGAUAUUUCAGGAGGGAGGAACUGCAUGAACAUCCGAGUGGAGGUGAGAGACAGUAGGUGGACCCAGGGUGGGGGAGCAAGAGGAGGAAAGGGGAAGAAACUGGGUCUCAGCCCCCAGGGAUUCCACAGCACCCUGGGGAGCCUCGAGUCCCACCAGACACCAGAAACAGUACUUGCUGCCAUUGUUGGAAGCGGACUGCUGUGAGCCCCAGGAGGGUCACACAUGAGCUCAUUUCCUCCUCCCCAGAUUCUUACUGCUGGGUCUCUUUACAGAUAGAAAAACUGAGGUCACGGGGAAUUCCCUGGCAACUCAGUGGUUAAGACUCGGUGCUUCUAAUGUGGGGGAACUAAGAUACCACAUGCCUCGUGGCACAGCCAAAA
ensembl:lncRNA